rnacentral:rRNA from 1 species
GGGUUGUGAGGUUAAGCGACUAAGCGUACACGGUGGAUGCCCUGGCAGUCAGAGGCGAUGAAGGGCGUGCUAAUCUGCGAUAAGCGCCGGUAAGGUGAUAUGAACCGUUAUAACCGGCGAUACCCGAAUGGGGAAACCCAGUGUGACUCGUCACACUAUCAUUAACUGAAUCCAUAGGUUAAUGAGGCGAACCGGGGGAACUGAAACAUCUAAGUACCCCGAGGAAAAGAAAUCAACCGAGAUUCCCCCAGUAGCGGCGAGCGAACGGGGAGGAGCCCAGAGCCUGAAUCAGCAUGUGUGUUAGUGGAAGCGUCUGGAAAGGCGCGCGAUACAGGGUGACAGCCCCGUACACAAAAGCGCAUGUGCUGUGAGCUCGAUGAGUAGGGCGGGACACGUGGUAUCCUGUCUGAAUAUGGGGGGACCAUCCUCCAAGGCUAAAUACUCCUGACUGACCGAUAGUGAACCAGUACCGUGAGGGAAAGGCGAAAAGAACCCCGGCGAGGGGAGUGAAAAAGAACCUGAAACCGUGUACGUACAAGCAGUGGGAGCACCCUUUGGGGUGUGACUGCGUACCUUUUGUAUAAUGGGUCAGCGACUUAUAUUCUGUAGCAAGGUUAACCGAAUAGGGGAGCCGGAGGGAAACCGAGUCUUAAUUGGGCGUUAAGUUGCAGGGUAUAGACCCGAAACCCGGUGAUCUAGCCAUGGGCAGGUUGAAGGUUGGGUAACACUAACUGGAGGACCGAACCGACUAAUGUUGAAAAAUUAGCGGAUGACCUGUGGCUGGGGGUGAAAGGCCAAUCAAACCGGGAGAUAGCUGGUUCUCCCCGAAAGCUAUUUAGGUAGCGCCUCGUGAAUUCAUCUCCGGGGGUAGAGCACUGUUUCGGCUAGGGGGCCAUCCCGGCUUACCAACCCGAUGCAAACUGCGAAUACCGGAGAAUGUUAUCACGGGAGACACACGGCGGGUGCUAACGUCCGUCGUGAAGAGGGAAACAACCCAGACCGCCAGCUAAGGUCCCAAAGUCAUGGUUAAGUGGGAAACGAUGUGGGAAGGCCCAGACAGCCAGGAUGUUGGCUUAGAAGCAGCCAUCAUUUAAAGAAAGCGUAAUAGCUCACUGGUCGAGUCGGCCUGCGCGGAAGAUGUAACGGGGCUAAACCAUGCACCGAAGCUGCGGCAGCGAACGUAUCACCCAAGACAACUUUACGGAGUUGACGAUUGACGGAGCGAAGCGACGUCAAAGCGUUCAUUAAAGUCGAGUUGGCUUAGGGAUACGUUCGUUGGGUAGGGGAGCGUUCUGUAAGCCUGUGAAGGUGUGUCGUGAGGCAUGCUGGAGGUAUCAGAAGUGCGAAUGCUGACAUAAGUAACGAUAAAGCGGGUGAAAAGCCCGCUCGCCGGAAGACCAAGGGUUCCUGUCCAACGUUAAUCGGGGCAGGGUGAGUCGACCCCUAAGGCGAGGCCGAAAGGCGUAGUCGAUGGGAAACGGGUUAAUAUUCCCGUACUUGGUGUUACUGCGAAGGGGGGACGGAGAAGGCUAUGUUGGCCGGGCGACGGUUGUCCCGGUUUAAGCGUGUAGGUGUGUGUUCCAGGUAAAUCCGGUUCACUUUAACACUGAGGCGUGACGACGAGGCACUACGGUGCUGAAGCAACAAAUGCCCUGCUUCCAGGAAAAGCCUCUAAGCAUCAGGUAACAUCAAAUCGUACCCCAAACCGACACAGGUGGUCAGGUAGAGAAUACCAAGGCGCUUGAGAGAACUCGGGUGAAGGAACUAGGCAAAAUGGUGCCGUAACUUCGGGAGAAGGCACGCUGACACGUAGGUGAAGUGAUUUACUCACGGAGCUGAAGUCAGUCGAAGAUACCAGCUGGCUGCAACUGUUUAUUAAAAACACAGCACUGUGCAAACACGAAAGUGGACGUAUACGGUGUGACGCCUGCCCGGUGCCGGAAGGUUAAUUGAUGGGGUCAGCGCAAGCGAAGCUCCUGAUCGAAGCCCCGGUAAACGGCGGCCGUAACUAUAACGGUCCUAAGGUAGCGAAAUUCCUUGUCGGGUAAGUUCCGACCUGCACGAAUGGCGUAAUGAUGGCCAGGCUGUCUCCACCCGAGACUCAGUGAAAUUGAACUCGCUGUGAAGAUGCAGUGUACCCGCGGCAAGACGGAAAGACCCCGUGAACCUUUACUAUAGCUUGACACUGAACAUUGAGCCUUGAUGUGUAGGAUAGGUGGGAGGCUUUGAAGCGUGGACGCCAGUCUGCGUGGAGCCGACCUUGAAAUACCACCCUUUAAUGUUUGAUGUUCUAACGUGGACCCGUAAUCCGGGUUGCGGACAGUGUCUGGUGGGUAGUUUGACUGGGGCGGUCUCCUCCUAAAGAGUAACGGAGGAGCACGAAGGUUGGCUAAUCCUGGUCGGACAUCAGGAGGUUAGUGCAAUGGCAUAAGCCAGCUUGACUGCGAGCGUGACGGCGCGAGCAGGUGCGAAAGCAGGUCAUAGUGAUCCGGUGGUUCUGAAUGGAAGGGCCAUCGCUCAACGGAUAAAAGGUACUCCGGGGAUAACAGGCUGAUACCGCCCAAGAGUUCAUAUCGACGGCGGUGUUUGGCACCUCGAUGUCGGCUCAUCACAUCCUGGGGCUGAAGUAGGUCCCAAGGGUAUGGCUGUUCGCCAUUUAAAGUGGUACGCGAGCUGGGUUUAGAACGUCGUGAGACAGUUCGGUCCCUAUCUGCCGUGGGCGCUGGAGAACUGAGGGGGGCUGCUCCUAGUACGAGAGGACCGGAGUGGACGCAUCACUGGUGUUCGGGUUGUCAUGCCAAUGGCACUGCCCGGUAGCUAAAUGCGGAAGAGAUAAGUGCUGAAAGCAUCUAAGCACGAAACUUGCCCCGAGAUGAGUUCUCCCUGAGACUUAGAGUCUCCUGAAGGAACGUUGAAGACGACGACGUUGAUAGGCCGGGUGUGUAAGCGCAGCGAUGCGUUGAGCUAACCGGUACUAAUGAACCGUGAGGCUUAACCUUACAACGCCGAAG